rnacentral:tRNA from 1 species
GUAGUGUGCCUAGUGGACAUGACAUCUGCCCGGUAAGCGGAACACUGUGGGUUCGAUUCCCAUCCCUGGACA